rnacentral:lncRNA from 1 species
CAUGGCCUCUGUGGUGAGCAGCACUACCAGCAGAGUCUGGAUCAAGCUUUAUUGUCAGCUCAUCAUUGAACAAGACAUGCUGAUUGUUCCUUGUUCUAGGCUGCAGAUACCAUGGGACUGCAAUAUCAGAAUUCCCAGCUGCCCAGAACAUCUCCCACACUUUGCUGCUGUUAAGCUGAGAAGUGGAUUCUUCACGACUACUUUGCUGUAUCUGAGUCCUGUGCAGCUUUGGCAGUGAGAGGGAGGACAACUCCAGGAACCUCAGGCAAAGCUCUCUGUAUCCUGCAACCAUUAAACCCUGACAUCAGGAUCUCACACCAAUGGCAUCCG